rnacentral:siRNA from 1 species
CCUUAGUCUGUAGAAUGGUUAAGU